UACGUAGGGACCAAGCGUUGUUCGGAUUUACUGGGCGUAAAGGGCGCGUAGGCGGCGCGGUAAGUCACUUGUGAAAUCUCUGAGCUUAACUCAGAACGGCCAAGUGAUACUGCAGUGCUAGAGUGUGGAAGGGGCAAUCGGAAUUCUUGGUGUAGCGGUGAAAUGCGUAGAUAUCAAGAGGAACACCUGAGGUGAAGACGGGUUGCUGGGCCAACACUGACGCUGAAACGCGAAAGCUAGGGGAGCAAACGGG
rnacentral:rRNA from 1 species